rnacentral:rRNA from 1 species
UGGGGAAUAUUGCACAAUGGGCGAAAGCCUGAUGCAGCGACGCCGCGUGAGGGAUGACGGCCUUCGGGUUGUAAACCUCUUUCAGCAGGGACGAAGCGCAAGUGACGGUACCUGCAGAAGAAGCACCGGCUAACUACGUGCCAGCAGCCGCGGUAAUACGUAGGGUGCAAGCGUUGUCCGGAAUUACUGGGCGUAAAGAGUUCGUAGGCGGUUUGUCGCGUCGUUUGUGAAAACCAGCAGCUCAACUGCUGGCUUGCAGGCGAUACGGGCAGACUUGAGUAAUGGAGGGGAGACUGGAAUUCCUGGUGUAGCGGUGAAAUGCGCAGAUAUCAGGAGGAACACCGGUGGCGAAGGCGGGUCUCUGGGCAGUAACUGACGCUGAGGAACGAAAGCGUGGGUAGCGAACAGG